rnacentral:rRNA from 1 species
AGCGAACGCUGGCGGCAGGCUUAACACAUGCAAGUCGAGCGGGCACUUUCGGGUGUCAGCGGCGGACGGGUGAGUAACGCGUGGGAACGUGCCCUCUGGUUCGGAAUAACUCAGGGAAACUUGAGCUAAUACCGGAUACGCCCUUUUGGGGAAAGGCUUGGUGCGGGAGGAUGGGGCCGCGUUUGAUUAGCUAGUUGGUGAGGUAACGGCUCACCAAGGCGACGAUUAGUAGCUGGUCUGAGAGGAUGAUCAGCCACACUGGGACUGAGACACGGCCCAGACUCCUACACACAUCCCCAAUCUACAAUAUUUCAACAUCAUCGCAAGCCUGAUCCACCCAUGCCGCGUGAGUGAUGAAGGCCUUAGGGUUAUAAAACUCUUUUAUCCCCGACUAUAAUAACUAUCCCCCAAAAAUAAGCCCCGGCUAACUUCUUG